CCAUUUGUGGUUCAAUAGUAGAAUUCUUGCUUUCCGUGCAGGAGAGCUGGGCUCAACUCCCAGCCAAGGCA
rnacentral:tRNA from 1 species